rnacentral:rRNA from 1 species
CGGCGUGCUUACACAUGCAAGUCGAACGGGACUCUUCGGAGUCCAGUGGCGGACGGGUGAGUAACGCGUGAGAAUCUGCCUUCCGGAUGGGGACAACCGCUAGAAACGGCGGCUAAUCCCCAAUGUGCCGAGAGGUAAAACGGGUGAAACCGCCGGAAGAGGAGCUCGCGUCCGAUCAGCUAGUUGGUGGGGUAACAGCUCACCAAGGCCACGAUCGGUAGCCGGUCUGAGAGGACGAUCGGCCACACUGGGACUGAGACACGGCCCAGACUCCUACGGGAGGCAGCAGUGGGGAAUUUUCCGCAAUGGGCGAAAGCCUGACGGAGCAACGCCGCGUGGGGGAGGAAGGCUCUUGGGUUGUAAACCCCUUUUCUCAGGGAAGAAGCUCUGACGGUACCUGAGGAAUCAGCCUCGGCUAACUCCGUGCCAGCAGCCGCGGUAAUACGGAGGAGGCAAGCGUUAUCCGGAAUUAUUGGGCGUAAAGCGUCCGCAGGUGGCUAUUUAAGUCUGCUGUCAAAGACCGGGGCUCAACUCCGGGUCGGCAGUGGAAACUGGAUAGCUAGAGUACGGUAGGGGUAGAGGGAAUUCCCGGUGUAGCGGUGAAAUGCGUAGAGAUCGGGAAGAACACCGGUGGCGAAGGCGCUCUACUGGACCGUGACUGACACUCAGGGACGAAAGCUAGGGGAGCGAAAGGGAUUAGAUACCCCUGUAGU